rnacentral:rRNA from 1 species
UACGGGGGGGGGCGGGCGUUGUUCGGAUUUACUGGGCGUAAAGGGCUCGUAGGCGGCCAACUAAGUCGGAUGUGAAAUCCCCAGGCUUAACCUGGGAACUGCAUCCGAUACUGGAUGGCUUGAAUCCGGGAGAGGGAUGCAGAAUUCCAGGUGUAGCGGUGAAAUGCGUAGAUAUCAGGAGGAACACCGGUGGCGAAGGCGGCUCUCUGGACCACUACUGACGCUGAGGCGCGAAAGCUAGGGGAGCAAACAGG